UAGGAGGAAGCUCGCUGGAUAGAGUUCUUAGCUGUUAACUAAGGUUUUGUAGGAUCAAGGCCUGCCCUUCUAG
rnacentral:tRNA from 1 species